CGCCUGUUUAUCAAAAACAUGUCUAUAUGAAGUUAUAUGAAGUCUGGCCUGCCCAUUGAAUUUUAUUUAAAGGCCGCGGUAUUUUGACUGUGCAAAGGUAGCAUAAUAAUUAGUUUUUUAAUUGGGGGCUUGUAUGAAUGGUUGGACAAAGAAAAGUCUGUCUUUAGCUUUUUUUUGAAUUUUACAUUUAGAUGAAAAGGUUUAAAUAGGUUUAAGGGACGAUAAGACCCUAUAAAGCUUUACAUUUUAUUUAUUUUUAUUGAGAAGAGAAGGUUAAUCGAUAAGGAUGGAGGAUGGUGUUUUGUUGGGGUGACAAGGAUGUAAAUAAAAAACUGUCCAGUAAAGAAACAAGUAGUGUUUGGAAAAUAAAAGAUCCUUUGUAAAGAUAAAAGUUUAAGUUACUUUAGGGAUAACAGCGCUAUUUUUUUUGAGAGUUCUUAUUGAAAAGAAAGUUUGCGACCUCGAUGUUGAAUUAAGGUUUCCUUAUGGUGCAGAAGCUAUAAAGGUGAGUCUGUUCGACUUUCAAAACUUUACGUGCUCUGAGUUCAGACCGG
rnacentral:rRNA from 1 species